UACGGAGGAUGCAAGCGUUAUCCGGAUUUAUUGGGUUUAAAGGGUGCGUAGGCGGAAGAUUAAGCGUGAGGUGAAAUGCCCCGGCUCAACCGGGGAACUGCCUCGCGAACUGGUCAUCUGGAAUUCUCCUGCCGUGGGAGGAAUGGGUAGUGUAGCGGUGAAAUGCAUAGAUAUUACCCAGAACACCGAUUGCGAAGGCAUCUCACGAAGGGGCGAUUGACGCUGAGGCACGAAAGCGUGGGGAU
rnacentral:rRNA from 1 species